rnacentral:rRNA from 1 species
UACGUAGGGUGCAAGCGUUACUCGGAAUUACUGGGCGUAAAGCGUGCGUAGGCGGUUUGUUAAGUCCGCUGUGAAAGCCCUGGGCUCAACCUGGGAAUUGCAGUGGAUACUGGCAAGCUAGAGUGCGGUAGAGGAUGGUGGAAUUCCCGGUGUAGCGGUGAAAUGCGUAGAGAUCGGGAGGAACAUCCGUGGCGAAGGCGGCCAUCUGGACCAGCACUGACGCUGAGGCACGAAAGCGUGGGGAGCAAACAGG